GGAUUUAAUUGACAAAUUCCGGUCCUUUGUUCCACGGUGUAUUUUUUUUUUAAAUUAUUUUAUUUUACUUUAUUUUUUUUGUAAUGUUUGGAAUAACACCAGGGCCGAAUAAUACAGUAUAUUCAUAAUUUCAUAAUUUUAUAUUCAUAAACUUCGGUUUAAAAAGGCGGGCUGGUGCUACAGCCAAGGAAAGAGUAUGUUAAUGGCCGUAACUAGCUAUGAGCUAUGAUGCUCAUGUAAAAAUUCUGGUAAAGUACAAAACACUCCUUAAUUUUCUCUGUUGGCUUGCCAUGGGCAGCAGUGUGGAGUAGUGGUUAGGGCUCUGGACUCUUGACCAGAGGGUUGUGGGUUCAAUCCCCAGUGGGGGACACUGCUGUUGUACCCUUGAGCAAGGUACUUUACCUAGAUUGCUCCAGUAAAAACCCAACUGUAUAAAUGGGUAAUUGUAUGUAAAAAAAUAAUGUGAUAGCUGUAUAAUGUGAAAUAAUGUAUAAUGUGAUAUCUUGUAACAAUUGUAAGUCGCCCUGGAUAAGGGCGUCUGCUAAGAAAUAAAUAAUAAUAAUAACAUAGAUUUGGAGACUGAAUAGUAAAUACCAAGCAGUCAUAUAAAUACAGCCAGCUAUAGCCUGAAAAAGUUUGAUCUGGGUAGAAUGUCAGCUGUGGUUACGACUCUGGGUACGUUUAGGAAAUAUUAAAAUCUAUCUAAAUUACAGAUUAUGAAACAUAGCCCUGUCCCCAUUUCUGCAGGCAUGUUACAAUGAAGAAUUCUUGUGCCACACCCCACUGCUAAAAGAGAGCGCCACAGAGUGGAGGAGCUGAGAGAAUGUACAGGAAGGGAAGAGAAACGGCAGAAGGGACACUAAACCACAGCAGACAAUAGUUUUUCAGAAAGUUCCGUCUGAGAGCUUCACUCUUCAUCCAGCCCUUUCUGGAAGGGGAAGAGAGAGACAGACUGACUCAGCUCCAGCAUAGUUGGCAAAGAGGGUGGCGAGAAGCUUGAGGGCAGACUUCUGGUAGAGCCCGACCACAGUCUCAUUCAGAGGGUCCUUGUUCUUCAUCAGCCAGUUUAUGAUGUUGUAAUCUACAA